UUGACUACAAAGUGUUAUAUUGAUUGAAACGAUUAUUUUGUAAAACAUAUUGAUUUACUUUCUCAUCAUUAGUACACGUUUCAUUAUAGUUUAAACACAUAUCUGAUUCUUCCGAUAACGGUUCGAGAUAGAUGAGUGUCGAUCCGAAUUUGCUUUCGCUUGCCACUGCAAAUAAUUUCAAAACAAAAUUUAAAUUGAAAAAAAA
rnacentral:lncRNA from 1 species